rnacentral:tRNA from 1 species
GCAUGAAUGGUGUAGCGGUAACAUUCCACCCUUCCAUCAGAAAUGAAGUGUAAGGUGGAGCUCGGGGUUCGACUCCCCGUUCAUGCA